ensembl:lincRNA
GGAAUCCACCGUCCCUCUGUGCCGCCUCUAAUCUCCGCCCGGGCGGGCGCAGAGCGAGUGCACGUCACUGCGUGUGCGUGAGCGUGAGCGCCCGUCAACGCGAGAAGGGAUCGGGUUUAGGCUCUGCGUCCUUUUAGGGAAGUCUCGCUGGGAAACAAAGCUCCGAGCUUUGAGUUUCGACUCGCUGGGCUCCCGGGAGCCCCCACCACUGUGCCCACCGAGCCUCAUGCCCCUGAGUGGCCACCGUGUGACCAGCCUGAGUGGUGCAGGUGCACGCACGAGCUCCUCCCACCCGCAGCCGCCCCCGAGGGAGCCCCCAGCAGUGCACAAAGGGCGUGGUUGCAGCCCGAGCCCCGGCACCUGCCCCCGGCUGCACAGAUGCUGUGAGUUUCCAACAUAGGAAAGGGGUUGGGCUGCACACGGAGCACAGCCAGGUGCCGCCCCACCCUUCCUGCCCACGGGAAGUGGAGAAUGGAGAGGUCACAGGUCGCCCCCAUUGGGUGGGCAGGCAGGGCCUGUCCUGACCCCCCCCCCGCCAUAAAGAACCCAAAAACACCCCGACUCCUGGGCCCCAAGGAAACACAUUCGUCAGUUUGGUCCUCCAGGCUAAGGCCACAGUUUCCUGCUGACUCACCCCUGCUGCUUCCCCGGGAAAACUGAGGCAGGCAGGUUCCCCCCCCCCCGCCGUGUGGUCAUUUCUGCUGGCGCUAGCGUGCACACGAAAAGGAGAACGUCAAAAACCGCAGGAGGCGCGGAGAAAGAGGCAGAGGUGUGUGAGCACCGGGCCAAGGUAAAGCAUGCCAGGCGCUGCAGGACAGACAAGGGACUUCACUGCGGGGCCCUGGGGAUGUGACAAUGAGCAAGGCAGCGUCCCUGCCCCCCAGGGACACUGAGACCCAGCCCGAGGACCCAGCCUUCUGGUCACAUGCAAAGUUGCAGAGGAGGGACAGGAGGGAUGAGUCUGGAAGCCGAGUCGGCCCUUUCUCUGACCUGGGCCCACAGGAGCCUCCACCUGGGGACGUUCUGCAGUGCCACCCUGACCCCAGGGGAGACGGGCCCUGGUGUCCCCUCGGGGUCUCUUCUCUGUCCCCCUUCUCCACCCUGCAAGCAAACGGAAGGAAAGCUGCACAUCUCCAAGGACGGGCUCGGGGAAGUCUUGGGUGCAGGCGGGGACCCGUCCCCGGCGCCACUCCAGGUGAUGCAUUGGAGGUGGGGGUGGGAGACACGCUGCCCCCCCCCCAAACCCAGGCCCCAGAACGACAGCCAUGGAGAGGCCAGAGAAGGACACCCGUCCCAUCUGUGCCAGGUCCCUCCUCUUUCCCCUAAGGGGUCUGCUGCCGGGGGCCAAGAUAAACACCGGGAAUUGAGACACCGGAGAACUUUUCCAGGGUGUGGCCGCCGGCACCUGCCACCCUGCAGGGUCCACACCCACCUCCCCCGAAUGCAGCUGACCGGCCCAGCUGGGCUGAAGCAGCUCCCGGCUCCCGGCUGGGCUGAGGUCCCUCCGGUUUCUCAGAUCGCCAGCCUGGGGGUGCCGAGUUCCCUCCUCCGUUUCAGACCGCAGAGCUCCACGAUUCGCAGAGACACAGAGAAACGGAUGUCUUCCCUCUGCCGCAGCCCCCCAAACGGGAGUGUGAGAGAAGACACCAACAGACACUCUAAUAGGGUGCGUUAACCGUGCGGGGGGCCGGGAGGGCCUUUGGCUUCCUCGGGUAAGAAUGAUGCUUUCACGGUACCCACGAGGGAUAAAGUGCUGGCGCUGGAUUCUCAUAGGAGCGCCAACGCCACUGUAAACUGGGCGUGCCAGGGACAUAGGUUGCGUCUCCUUAUGAGAAUCUAACUAUGCCUGACGAUCCGAGGUGGAGCUGAGGCAGCGAAGCCAGCGCUGGGGAGCGGCUGCAGAUGCAGAUCAUCGCGAGCAGAGAGGCUGGACACACAGAGACUCUAACAAAUCAAUGGCUUGCAGGCUCAUGUCAGAACCCUAGCAGAGGCCGGGCGAGGUGGCUCACGUCCGUAAUCCUGGCACUCUGGGAGGCCGAGGUGGGCAGAUCACUCAAGGUCAGGAGUUCCAAACCAGCCUGAGCCAAGAGUGAGACCCUGUCUCUACCAAAAAUAGAAAGAAAUUAAUUGGCCAACUAAAAAUAUAUAGAAAAAAAUAUUAGCCGGGCAUGGUGGCGCAUGCCUGUAGUCCCAGCUCCUCGGGAGGCUGAGGCAAGAGGAUCGCUUGAGCCCAGGAGUUUGAGGUUGCGUGAGCCGGGCUGACGCCAUGGCACUCACUCUAGCCUGGGCAACGGAGUGAGACUCUGUCUCAAAAAAAAACCCUAUCAGUGAGUAGCAAGUGACUAUGUAAUCAUAAUAGAAAUAAAGUGAGCAGUAAAGGUCAUGCGCUUGAAUCUUCCCCAAAACAUCCCCCAACCCAGUCCGUGGAAGGAAGUAAGUGCUUUUAUCUCCAUGUUCAAAAAGGCACUGUGGGAGCCAGCAGUAGCCACGGCGCCCGGGCCCACCCCGGCCACCAGACUGUCCUCUCCGCACCAACUCCAGGACCUCGUCGGCCGCUAGUGUGAGCGUGGGUCUGUCCCUGCCUGCCGACACGGCCCGGCUCUGACCUGCCUCACCCCUGCCAGGGUCCAGCAAAGCACUCGAGGCGUGGAACAGGCUCCAAAACACCGGCUGCUCAAUCCCCUCUCCCCUCUUCCCUGUCCCGUCUCCCCUCUACCCUGUCCCCUCUCCUGCUCUCUCCUUCCUCUGCUCGUCCCUGUCUCUGCCUAUCCUUGCUCUGCCCCUGUCCU